GACGAACGCUGGCGGCGUGCUUAACACAUGCCAGUCGAACGGAAAGGCCCUGCUUUUGUGGGGUGCUCGAGUGGCGAACGGGUGAGUAACACGUGAGUAACCUGCCCUUGACUUUGGGAUAACUUCAGGAAACUGGGGCUAAUACCGGAUAGGAGCUCCUGCUGCAUGGUGGGGGUUGGAAAGUUUCGGCGGUUGGGGAUGGACUCGCGGCUUAUCAGCUUGGUGGUGGGGUAGUGGCUUACCAAGGCUUUGACGGGUAGCCGGCCUGAGAGGGUGACCGGCCACAUUGGGACUGAGAUACGGCCCAGACUCCUACGGGAGGCAGCAGUGGGGAAUAUUGCACAAUGGGCGGAAGCCUGAUGCAGCAACGCCGCGUGCGGGAUGACGGCCUUCGGGUUGUAAACCGCUUUCGCCUGUGACGAAGCGUGAGUGACGGUAAUGGGUAAAGAAGCACCGGCUAACUACGUG
rnacentral:rRNA from 1 species